UUGGCCACAUCAUAAGAAGAUACGGCACAUAUACUAAAAUUGGAACGAUGCAGAGAAGAUUAUCAUGGCCCCUGUGCAAGGAUGACAUGCAAAUUUGUGAAGUGUUACAUAUUUUU
rnacentral:snRNA from 1 species